rnacentral:pre_miRNA from 1 species
GGGGGGAGGCCAGAUCCUCGGCUGUGUCCCCAGCGCCCUUGCUUCUGGGCCUGCGCUUUUGGAUUCGCGUUCCUGGCUGGGCAGCCCCCU